rnacentral:rRNA from 1 species
CAGGUGCUGCAUGGCUGUCGUCAGCUCGUGUUGUGAAAUGUUGGGUUAAGUCCCGCAACGAGCGCAACCCUUAUCCUUUGUUGCCAGCGAUUCGGUCGGGAACUCAAAGGAGACUGCCGGUGAUAAACCGGAGGAAGGUGGGGAUGACGUCAAGUCAUCAUGGCCCUUACGAGUAGGGCUACACACGUGCUACAAUGGCGCAUACAAAGAGAAGCGACCUCGCGAGAGCAAGCGGACCUCACAAAGUGCGUCGUAGUCCGGAUCGGAGUCUGCAACUCGACUCCGUGAAGUCGGAAUCGCUAGUAAUCGUGGAUCAGAAUGCCACGGUGAAUACGUUCCCGGGCCUU